CGCAGCCUCCACCUGUCAGGUAAGGUAGGAGAAGGUAUGUUAUCUGACACCUCUCUCCCUGCCUCCCUCCAUUUAGCAGGAAGUGGUGGGGUCAGGGGUCUUCAGUAUAGGCUUCUUGAGCCUCUGCCCCCUGUCACCCUUCUCUUGGAAUGAUGUGUACCCACAUCUUUGGAUCCUGCCGUCCUUGUGGUUCCAGGCUGUUGGGAGGAGGUCAGCCUCCCCUGAGCCAGCUGCCUGAGGCAUGCAGCAUCCUUCCUCGGCAAAGCCCACCUGGCCCACAGUGGCCCUCUCUCCCCAUCCUGUUCUUCUUCUUGCCCUGUAAUGUGCUCCCCCCAUAUGUUUUCUCUCUCACCUGAGGCUUUGCUGGUCCUCAGAUUGGUUUUGUAUUUGUGAGACAACCACUUGAUUCCUGGGCUGCCAGGCAGAAGCACAAGCGCACACGGAUGCACACGGAUGUUCUCACACACACACACGCCCGCUCUCACCAAUUCACAGCGCCCUCGCAGUCCGGCGGAGCUGCCCAGGAGCUUGGUGAGGAUGGCUCCAAAGGACACAAGCCGUUGAGGAGAUGCCAGAGAAUUCUGAAUGGAAAACACAAGUCCGGGGCCUCACCAGCAUCGUGGCAGAAGGCCUGGGGCAUUUCUCCAUGGGCCUUCUGCCCUGUGUUCCCGCUCUGACUUUUGGAAAAGGACAUUGUGGAUUUUAUGAAAAUUUUCAUAUCAUUAGUCUAGCACCAACCUAGAAAAAUUUGAUGAUAUAUCAAACCCAACAUCCCUUUCCCAAGGCACCUUCGUUGAGGCUAGCCCUUCCAUAACUGACAUUGUACGGUGCUUUGCAAUCCUUGACCACACUGUGGGGCAACGAGCAUGAUGCCCACUUUAUAGACAGGGAAAUUGACAUUUGGGGCUCACAUGGCAAGAUAGAGGCAAAGUAAAUUCUCAGAUCUCCAGGCCCCAUUCUCUCUCCACCGAGUUGUGCUCCUGCACAGGAGUGUAUGUCUUUAGACACUCCCCCACCCCCAUUCCCUAGAAAUCCCCCAGACUCACAAUAAGGCAAGAAAGAACAGGGACCCAGAGGCUGGCCUGACCUAGGGGCCUGGAGGUUGGUGGCUUUGUUUCCUAUGAACAUUGAAACCUGCAGAGUCUUUGACCAAAUCAACAACAGCACUUCUGAGGUUUCAUCCAGACUGUUUCCCAGCGGUCCCUGAGGCUCAGAAGGUAUCAGAGCCAAUUCAAGGCCACACCAUAAUCCCUGACCAGGCCUGGACAUGGGUCCAGCCCUGACUGCAGGGGUCCAGGUGCCAGGGUCAUGUGCUGUCCCCUACUUCCCUUUCUUUGCCUUCCCACUUUGGAACAAGCUCCAGGCCUGGCUGUGACAGUAUGCAGGAGUGCCCAAGCCAGGGCCACCAGAAUGUCCACAGCCCCUGGAAACACAGAUCACAAUUUCAAGUCCCCUGAAUGAACUGCUUCCUGGGUGAAUUGGGUGGUGUAACCUUGCCACUCGGGCAGGGCACCAGACAGUAUGGUGCAGUGGUGCCUGAGAUGCCCAGAAGUGUGCCUGCCCCCCUGAGUGGCAUUCAAGUAUGAAAACGUGUAAAAUGUUCUGUCGGCCUAAAGAAAAAUGUCAAUGGGCCAAAUCUGACGCACUGGUCACCAGCCUGUGAGCCCCAAUGCCUGUCAAUUGCCCCCUUUCUUAUUCACCUCCUGUCCUUUGUUGCAGAUUUGGAGGAGAUGGGAGCCCAGAGAGGUGAGAGGUGUGCUUCAGGGUGUCCAGCAAGGCAGGGGCAGAAACGGGCACGCCCAGAGCCUGCCACUCUCCCACACCUCAUCUUGGGCUCUUGCAAACCUUGCGCUUUGAAGGUAGAAUUAGGUAGAAGGUCAGAGGCACUGGGGAUGGGACUGGGGAGCUGCUGAGUUUUCAGGGGAGGUCAGUGCUGCUUGGGCGCCUUUCACAUGUUCAGGGAAGAGACUCAGAUGUGGCCACAGGGCACGGAGGGGUGAAAUCCAUUCACCAGAAGUCACACCCCAGAACGACUGUCCAGCCUUGGCAGCCAGUGGCUCCAGCCACCCCCUCCUCAUGACAUUCAGCCAGAAUUGAGCUCCAAGCCAGGGAAGCAAAUCUUAAAAACCAACCAAGCACCCUGACACAGCCCUAGGAACACAAUGAGUCUGAGAUACAGCUUCCUGGGAGGGUGGAAACCAGCUUCUGCCCCUAGCCAGGCCAGGCCCAGGCAGGCAUGGGUGGAUCCCACAGGGCGCCAAGCUAGACCAGCUCCACGGUGGCCCCACUACGAGGCCAGUUCUGCAGGCUUGGCCUUGUCACCCAUUGAGAGGCUGCUCUGAUGGUUCCCAGCCACACACCAGCUCUCCUGGGGAAGCUAUUUCUUUCGUUCUUUUGGCCUCGGAGAGAUCCGAGGCAAGUACAUUUCUUAAAAGGUAAUAAAAUGCAUUAUUGGAAAGUUGGACAGUCAGGCCAUGACUCCUAGCCCAUAGCAUGCCCCACCUCCCAGCAGCCCCUUCAGUCCCUUGCCCCUGUUGUCCCCUGUUGCCCCAAACCUCAGGGUUCCCUCUUGCAUAUUCAUGGGGGAACCACAGUGCUGAUGUGUACUUCCCCACUGUCAGCUCUGCUGCACCUUGUGUGGCACCAGGUCCCGACGGGCCUCACAGAGGCCAGGCCGUGAGCCCCUUGCCUGCCUGCUCCCCUGAUGAGGCAACAGCUUCUCUGAAAUGAGCUGCCGCCCAGGAGCAGGCAGGCACCAGUCUGUCUUUCCUUUUCUGGUAAUUCCUCAGCACUGAGGCUCCAUUCUUGGGCACCCUAGGAUUGAAGGGGACCUCAGAAUCAUGUCACUGCCAUUCUAGAGUUUCAAUCCAAGGGGUCCCCUUUAGCUCAUCUCCAAGAUGGGUAAAUGCAGCCACCAUUCAGAAAGCCCAGAAAUUCUUCUUCCCACAUCUUAGACCCCUGAGCAACACAGGGAGAAAAUGCAUCUGCUUACCUGUUAAUAUCUACUGAUGGACAAUCAGCGAAGCCUCAAAGGAGUCGUCUCAGGUAGGGUACUUGGCCUGUGGCAGGAGAGACAGAGGCACAAACCCACCCACCCAUCAGCUUCGGGUGGCUGAUUGGGGCCCAGGGAGAGAAGCAGGUAAAACAGCAGGGUGGGGGUGACUUGGCAGUCGUGCACCCCUCCCCUACUCUGAGGCCUGUAGGAGGAAGUCACGCCAGGAGGAGGCCACACCAGCCUCACCUGCCUUGACCCCCACCCCCUGCCCUGCGACCCUGUGGCUAUGGCUGCUGGUCGCUCGUGUCCCCAAAAUCACCAUGCCUGUGGCCACAUCCCUCAUCUUCUCCAAAAACAUCAUUAAGAACAAGUGAUUUUGGAUGAUGGAUUUUUGAUUUACAAAUGGUGCAUUUCUCUUGGAGUGGAACAGAGAGGAAACCAUUUAAUGGCGCCCUUCUUUUCAAGCAUGAAUACAUUUUAAUGAAACUAUUUUAUUGUAUUUGAGGAAAUGGAGAGUUGAACAUUCCAACCAAUCAAUAGCCAAUUAAUUGCUAUAAAGCUAAAAAGAAAAUAAAUAAAUCCUGAGUCUAUUUUAAACACUGCAAAAAGUUCAAAGCCUCAGAAUCUGGCCUUCCCCCCUGUAAUGUGCACGAGCACGUAAAUACACACACACACACACACACACACACACACUCCCCUACACCUCAGACAUACUCGAAACUCAAACAGCACUGAGUCUCCCCGUGCCAAUUCUUGCCUGCUCUCCUCGACUUUGGUCAGAGAAGGUGAGCAGACCCGGCAGCAGCCUGUCCUGGGGCUCAGGAAGAGGCAGGCCCAUCCCCUGGCCCCCAAACCCCCAGCACAGCAGAGGGUGGCAGGCAGUGAGGGCCUGGUGUUACCUGGGCCCCACUUCUCAGCCCCAGCUACUGGGCCUCCAAGGUUGGGGUGAGGAUGGAGUUUUGGCUCUGGGUUUGCCCUGACUCCUGCUGGAAGACGCUGCCCUGGUUUUUCACCCUCUAGUGGCCUUGGACAUUGCGUAUUUGUAGAAAUACAGAUUACAUUGCAAAUGGAAACCUUUGCCAGGAAAACACAUGGAUUUUGCUUUUUAUUCUUUGAGACAUUUGACUUUGUCCUAGGGACUGACCUUUCAGCAUCAAAGAAAUACAUAUCUACUGUCUCCGCCAAAGUUUGUGAUGCCUGCAUAGACGCUUACUUGUAAAAAAAAAAAAAAAAAAAAAA
ensembl:lncRNA